UACGGGGGGGGCAAGCGUUGUUCGGAAUUACUGGGCGUAAAGGGCUCGUAGGUGGCCAACUAAGUCAGACGUGAAAUCCCUCGGCUUAACCGGGGAACUGCGUCUGAUACUGGAUGGCUUGAGUUUGGGAGAGGGACGCGGAAUUCCAGGUGUAGCGGUGAAAUGCGUAGAUAUGCGGAGGAACACCGAUGGCGAAGGCAAUCCCCUGGGCCUGCACUGACGCUCAUGCACGAAAGCGUGGGGAGCAAACAGG
rnacentral:rRNA from 1 species